rnacentral:rRNA from 1 species
GAUGAACGCUGGCGGCGUGCCUAAUACAUGCAAGUCGAGCGAACGGACGAGAAGCUUGCUUCUCUGAUGUUAGCGGCGGACGGGUGAGUAACACGUGGAUAACCUACCUAUAAGACUGGGAUAACUUCGGGAACCCGGAGCUAAUACCGGAUAAUAUUUUGAACGGCAGGGUUCAAAAGUGAAAGCGGGCCUUGCUGUCACUUAUAGAUGGAUCCGCGCUGCAUUAGCCAGUUGGUAAGGUAACGGCUUACCAAGGCAACGAUGCAUAGCCGACCUGAGAGGGUGAUCGGCCACACUGGAACUGAGACACGGUCCAGACUCCUACGGGAGGCAGCAGUAGGGAAUCUUCCGCAAUGGGCGAAAGCCUGACGGAGCAACGCCGCGUGAGUGAUGAAGGUCUUCGGAUCGUAAAACUCUGUUAUUAGGGAAGAACAUAUGUGUAAGUAACUGUGCACAUCUUGACGGUACCUAAUCAGAAAGCCACGGCUAACUACGUG